UAGGGAAUCUUCCACAAUGGACGCAAGUCUGAUGGAGCAACGCCGCGUGAGUGAAGAAGGUUUUCGGAUCGUAAAGCUCUGUUGUUGGUGAAGAAGGAUAGAGGCAGUAACUGGUCUUUAUUUGACGGUAAUCAACCAGAAAGUCACGGCUAACUACGUGCCAGCAGCCGCGGUAAUACGUAGGUGGCAAGCGUUGUCCGGAGUUAUUGGGCGUAAAGCGAGCGCAGGCGGAAUGAUAAGUCUGAUGUGAAAGCCCCCGGCUCAACCGUGGAACUGCAUCGGAAACUGUCAUUCUUGAGUGCAGAAGAGGAGAGUGGAAUUCCAUGUGUAGCGGUGGAAUGCGUAGAUAUAUGGAAGAACACCAGUGGCGAAGGCGGCUCUCUGGUCUGCAACUGACGCUGAGGCUCGAAAGCAUGGGUAGCGAACAGG
rnacentral:rRNA from 1 species